ensembl:ncRNA C30A5.11 ncRNA
CAGAACCUCUACUGAUUUUGGAAGGGCGGAGAAGGGGGUUGAAGAGGGGGGAAGGAAAAAAGAGUUGAAUUAAAAAUGGAGCGGAGUGAUGAAAUAUUAAAACCGACACAAGG